rnacentral:rRNA from 1 species
AUGAAAAUAAUUGCCUGGAAUUGCCGGGGGUUGGAGAAUGGCCCAGCAAUUAGUGGUCUUCUGGACGUCCAGAAGCAGGAGGACCCCGAUGUAUUAUUUUUAUUAGAGAAAAAGAUGGUGUGCGACAGGCUUGAAUGGCUGCAGUGGAAGUUGGGAAUGCCACACAUGCUAGUUAAAGAUCGAUCUGGUCAAGGAGGAGGGUUAGCUUUGUUCGGAAAAGGGAGGUUGAUUUAA